rnacentral:lncRNA from 13 species
GGAAGCAUGAGAAGUAAUCUCAGAGUGCAGAGAACAACUUCAGAAGCAAGAGUGUGGGUCAGAUGCUGCUGCUCUAGCAGUUAACUCUUGUUGAAGAGUGCUCUUUUUGCUUCAUGAAAAGUUCCAUGAAGAACCGUUAUUGCUCUAUACAACUAAACAAUAAGAACAAUUACAGCAAUAACAUAAUCACACUGAAAACAUGGAUUUGCCUCUGUGUGACCAACCAUCCUGGUUUCCUGAGAACUAGGACUUUCAGUGCUAAGACCAGGAGCGUCUUUCACACACUGAGACAAGUCAGUUGCCCUGCAUACAGAGGAGCUACCAAAAGAAUGGCUGAAUUAAGAAAUUACUAG